AACGUAGGGGGCAAGCGUUGCCCGGAUUCACUGGGCGUAAAGCGGGUGUAGGCGGUUCUCUAAGUCGGAUGUGAAAUUUCGCGGCCCAACCGCGAAACUGCAUCCGAUACUGGGGAACUUGAGGACGGUAGAGGUCGGUGGAAUUCCAGGUGUACCGGUGAAAUGGGCAGAUAUCUGGAGGAACACCAGUGGCGAAGGCGGCCGACUGGGCCGAUCCUGACGCUGAGACCCGAAAGCUAGGGUAGCGAACCGG
rnacentral:rRNA from 1 species